rnacentral:rRNA from 1 species
UAUUAUUUUAUAUGUAAAGUUGAAUUUUAAAAAUUAAGAGUUAUGUUCUUCAAACUUAAAGAAUUUGACGGUAUUUUAGUCUUUUUAGAGGAAUCUGUUCUAUAAUUGAUAAUACACGAGUAGAGGUACUUAAUUUAUUAGGUUUGUAUAUCAUUGUCGUAAAAUUAUCUUAGAAAAGUUAAUUUUUAAUAAAAAAUAUUAUUUUUUAUGUCAAAUCAUGAUGCAGCUUAUGGUUAAGAAAGAAAUGGAUUACAAUUAGAUUGUUAACGAAUAUAUUAUUUAAAAAAAUUAUUGAAGAUGGAUUUAAUUGUAAAUUUAUAGUAUUAAUAAGUUGAUUUUGGCUCUAAAAUAUGUACAUAUCGCCCGUCGCUCUCAUUUUAAAGUGAG